UCUAUUAAAUAUAAUGCCUGUGACGAAGGCAGAGGCCCACAGGGCCUUGGAACUGCUGGAGGAUUAUUACACCAGGUUGUCUGAGGAAGAUGAAAAGCAGCUGAGAGCAGCGAUAGAACGAGUUAUUCGAAUAUUUAAAUCAAGAUUAUUUCAGUCUUUGCUGGAUAUCCAAGAAUUCUACGAACUAACCCUCAUGGAUGAAUCAAAGUCGAUCAAUACAAAAACUUCUGAAGCUUUGCAAAUGGCGUCACGGUGGGAGGUGGCUGGGCCCCCCGGUCAAUCUAAAGGUCUUGAACUGGGUCAGGACAUCUCUCUUCCAGAUCAACAACGCGACGAAAUGCUGCGUCAAUUGGCUCAUAUUGCAAACGAAGCAGUUCCUGCGUCACGGAGUUUAUCAAGACGUGAACCUGUUCUUGCGCCGCUACCUGUAUCCGCCCCCGUUCCUGUUCCUCCCCCUGCCAGUGUUCCAAGAUCAGUAUCUGCUGCUGGGAUAGAAAACUGGGAGUACGACGAUAUAAGUUUGGAACGUGGUGGGGCCGGGCUUGGAUUUUCCAUCGCCGGUGGAACCGAUAACCCUCAUGUUCCGAACGACAAUUCUAUAUUCAUAACUAAAAUUAUUGAUGGGGGUGCUGCAGCUCACGACGGCCGCCUCAGAGUCAACGAUAUCAUUACCCAUGUCAACGGCGUGUGCGUCAUCGAGGUUCCCCAUACAGCGGCGGUUGACGCCCUAAAAAGGGCAGGAAACAGUGUUCACCUAACCGUGAAAAGAAAAAGGCAGACCAACGGGACCAGUGGGGAUUUUAUAAAUGUAGAACUUAUGAAAGGUUCCAAAGGACUGGGAUUCACCAUUGCGGGAGGAAUUAACAAUCAGCAUAUUCCCGGGGACAACGGCAUUUAUGUGACCAAGGUUAUGGAGGGUGGGGCAGCAUUUAACGACGGACGGAUUGCUGUUGGAGACCGGCUGGUUGCUGUGAAGAACCUGCCGACCGGAGACUUUUACCUGGAGGACUGUUCUCAUGAGGAGGCAGUGAAGGCCCUGAAGGCAAGUAAGGAGAAAGUGUACUUAGUCAUCAGCAAGGUAGACAACCACUACCCCUUCGAGGUGUCCCCAAGCCCAACCUUUACUCAGAUGGACCCCUACAAACCUCAGUAUAAGGUCCCUAGAUCUGUAUCAGAAGAGGAGCUUAUUCGUGCUCCCCGAACGGUUUCUCUGGUCAAGGGACCGGCGGGUUUAGGGUUUAAUAUCGUCGGUGGGGAGGACGGUGAAGGAAUCUUUAUAUCUUUUAUAUUGGCGGGUGGACCCGCCGAUGUGUCUGGGCAAGUAAAGCGUGGGGAUCAGAUUUGCAGCGUGAACGGUAUUGACCUGAGUAACGCGACCCAUGAGGCGGCAGCACAGGCCCUAAAAGGAGCUGGUAACACUGUACAUAUGAAGUUGCAGUACAAACCUGACGAUUACAACAAGUUUGAGGCAAAGAUUCACAGUCUUAAGAAGCAAAUAAUCAGCGGCAGUAUGCUUAGAAUGUCAGAGAAGAAAUCCUUGUAUGUUAGAUCUCUGUUCGAUUAUGAUCCAACAAAAGACGAAGGAAUACCAAGCCGAGGAUUAGGAUUCAAGUUUGGAGAUAUCCUCCACGUGACUAAUGCUAGCGAUGAAGACUGGUGGCAGGCGCGCCGGGUACUUCCCCAGGGAGACGAGGGAGAGAUGGGACUUGUACCGUCACGGACAAGAUGGGAGAAAAAGAUGAGAUCUAGGCACAGAUCUGUCGGCUGGAGAAGCCAGACGGACGACCGGAAAAAAUACUCUAGUCUCGGACGAAAACUUCCCUUUAUGAAGAGCCGGGACGAAAUGUCGAGCGAGACCGAUGCAACCGGAAAUGACGGGGAGAGCCUGCACAGCAAGGACGAGGAGUUCGUCCCGACCUACGAGAUGGUUCAGCAGGUCCAGAUCGAGUAUACUAGACCCGUUAUCGUCCUCGGACCCUUAAAGGACAGAAUCAACGAUGAUCUGAUCUCCGAGUAUCCGGAGUCAUUCGGAUCCUGUGUUCCUCACACCACACGCCCUAGGCGUGAAUAUGAAGUAGAUUCCAGAGAUUACCACUUCGUUGCCUCCAGAGAGGCUAUGGAGGCCGACAUUCAAAACCACAAAUUUAUCGAGGCCGGACAAUAUAACGACAACCUAUACGGAACGAGUAUCGCGAGUGUGAAAGCAGUCGCGGAGAAGGGGAAGCACUGCAUCCUCGACGUUUCCGGGAAUGCAAUUAAGCGACUGCAGGCUGCGCGGAUAUAUCCCAUCGCGAUUUUUGUAAAACCUCGUGAUGUCAACUUCAUCAUUUCGGUGAACAAGAAGCUUAGCGAGGAGCAAGCGAAGAAAAGUUUCGACCGAGCUUGUCGACUAGAAAACGAAUUUAUUGAAUACUUUACCGCCAUGGUUGAGGGGGAAACCAUUGACGGGAUUUACGAAAAAGUUAAACAAGUUAUUGUCGAGAAUUCAGCCAAAAACAUCUGGGUUCCGUCAAACGAGAAUUUUUAAAAAAAAACUUCUUUUGUUUAGGUGUACAUAUAUUAUAUAUUAGAUGGGAUCAUUCUUUCAAUGUUGUCUUAAACUAAAAUUCUUUCUAUCAAAUAUUCUUUGACGAGUUCAUAGUUGGAUAUAAGCUGCCACAUUAUUUCUUCCAACAUUCAUCCCUUCCUACGCAUAACCCCUUGAGAAUGAAUUGACUUGUUGCUACUGAAUAGUUUAUUGUUAUCAUGGAAAAAUAUAUCAUCAACCAUUAGAAA
rnacentral:misc_RNA from 1 species